UACGGAGGAUGCAAGCGUUAUCCGGAAUGAUUGGGCGUAAAGCGUCCGCAGGUGGCAAUGUAAGUCUGCUGUUAAAGAGUCUAGCUCAACUAGAUAAAAGCAGUGGAAACUACAUAGCUAGAGUGCGUUCGGGGCAGAGGGAAUUCCUGGUGUAGCGGUGAAAUGCGCAGAUAUCAGGAAGAACACCCGUGGCGAAGGCGGCUCUCUGGGACGGUACUGACGCUGAGGCGCGAAAGCCAGGGGAGCAAACGGG
rnacentral:rRNA from 1 species